UACAGAGAGUGCAAACGUUGUUCGGAAUUACUGGGCUUAAAGCGCACGUAGGCGGCGCCGCAAGUGUGGGGUGAAAGCCCACGGCUUACCCGUGGAAUUGCCUGGCAGACUGCGGUGCUAGAGUGUGGUAGGGGAGAGCGGAACUCCUGGUGGAGCGGUGAAAUGCGUAGAUAUCAGGAGGAACACCGGUGGCGAAGGCGGCUCUCUGGUCCAUUACUGACGCUGAGGUGCGAAAGCUAGGGGAGCAAACGGG
rnacentral:rRNA from 1 species